CCACUUUCGAGAGACCGUGUGCUGGAGCCUCCUCGGAGACACCCUCCUGUGGCGCCACUGCCUUCGUCCUAGCGGGGACCCGGUUGCCGCGUCUGCGCAGCGGUACGAUCCUGGGGGAUCCUGGGUAGGUCCGUACCUUUCCUGGGCUUCGGUUUCCGGGUCUGCCGGGUGGGCCCUGGGGGGCUUCAGUGCUGCAUCCAGUUGGUUCUGAAUGCGGGGUUGGCAGAUUUGUCCCAAUUCACAGAGAUCGGUAGCUGCCAAGGGCACCAGCACACCCCCACCCCGCUCCUCUGGCCACCUCACGUCAGUGAACCAGAAGGAGGCGUGCGGGAUAUUUUAGUUAGCGGGGUGGGUGCUCCUGCGGGCAGAGGGGCCCCAGCGCAGCCCACUGUGGCCCAAGUGUGCUGGGGUCCUCCCGCAGGCGGAGGGCAGUGGGAGCCCCGGGCCCGCUGGAGGCCAGUGGGCAGGAGCUGAGGCCUCCAGCGACAGGCUCUGGGUAUUUCUGCCCCUGCCCACACCGUUGUGGCUCAUUUAUCAGACAGGUGUGACCUACCAAAACGUGUCACCAAAGGCCAGGGCCGAGUGGGGACCCGAUGGGGUGCAAGUUGACCGUUGCAUUUGGUAGCUCUGGGCAUGUGGUGGGGGUGCCCACCCUUACAGGUCAGCGCCGCGUCCCUGCCCCACCGUCCCCUGCAGCACCGGACUCUUCUCUCCCUGUGCCAGAGCCUUCAGAGGCUCCCCAGCACCCGGAGGAGAGAGUUCUAGGUCUGACCUUGGCACUGGAGGCCCCUGCGGAUAUUGUGGGCACCUUGAAGAGUGGGGAUGCGGGAACACAGGUGCCCUGUUUGGUGACCGCUGGCCCCACCCGGGAGGCCGUCUGCAGGCCUCGGGAGCAGAGAGCAGCGGGGACCCCUCCUCACCACGUCUCGACCCCACUCUUGACUGAUAAUGGAUUGCCAUUUGCCCAUCCGGUCCCCCCUUAGCUCACGCCUGUGCCCUCCGCCCAGCGGAAGUGCGGGAGGACCGGACGUGACCCGGUUUCCUCCCAGCUGGAAACUGGCUGCCAUGGGCGUAUUCACGUGGAAAUUGGCAAACACCGCCCAUCAGGGCUUUCACCCUCACGGGGCUGGUUGGUAAAUCUGGAUCAGCACAUCCCUGGUUAUUAGCACUUGACGCUUACUACGUUAGAUAUUGAGACUAAUCAUUAAAAACAUUUUGUUGAUGCAGUCUCGCUGAAUAACAACCAAGUGAUUAUGUGCGAACGUAAAGAACAUUUUUUGUAUUUUAUGGAAGUAGGGUUGACGUGCGGUCUGACAUUAGUCCUUAGUUUCAGGUGCCCAGCAUAGUGACCGGGCAAUUGUGUAAAAUACUCAGGGCUCGCCGCCAUCAUGUUAUUACAAUCUACUGACCGUGUUCCCCGUGCUGUACUUCCCACCCCUGUGACUCCUUUAUCUUGUAACUGGAAGUUUGUACCUCUUAAUCCCCUUUAUCUAUUUUCCCCAUCCCCCCACCCGCCUCCCCUCUCACAACCACCUGUUCUCAGUACUUACGAGUCUGUUUCUUUGUUCGUUGGUUUGGCGUUUUAGAUUCUGCGUGCGAGUGAACUCGUAUGGCUUUUGUCUUCGUGUGGCUGCCUUAUUUCACGUAGCGUAAUGGGCUGUGGUUCCAUCCGUGUUGCUGCAGGUGGCCAGGUUUCAUUCUUUUUAUGGCUGAGUAAUAUUCCCGCGUGCGCGCAUGCCCGGUCCUUCUCCGUUCCCCAACGGGUGGACGCCAGAGGGCGCUCGCACACCUUGGCUGUUGUAAAUGGUGCUGCGGUAAACUUCGGGGUGCGUGUACCUUUUCGAAUUAACGUUUUCAUUCUCUUUGGGGAAAUACCCAAUAGCAUUCCUAUUUAUAAUUUUUGAGGAACCUCCAUAUUGUUUUCCACAGUGGCUGCACAAACUUAGGUUAAUAUAAAUAGUUUUUCAUGAAAAUAACUUUUUUCCCCCAAAACGAAUUCGGCAAGAAGAGAGGUAUUGCUUUGUCUUGUGGCGAGUGUCCGGAACGGGGGGCAGGAGGAAGGGGGCCGGGCUCUGGAUGCGCUGCUGCGCCGCGGCCGCCACA